CUAUAAUGUUCUACCUCCAGUAGGCCAGCUGACAUCCCGAUCAUCAUUACUACUGUAUAAAUCAACCAUCAUUACUCCUGUAUACAUCAACCAUCAUUAGACUAACUAGCUGCCAGAGAUAAAGAUUGCCCUGCAGAAAUGGGUGAACAGCGUGUUCAGCUGUUGGGUCAGGUGCACGUCAGAUGCUCCGACCAUCUGUGUGUCUCCCAAAUGGCACCCUAUUCCCUUCAUAGUCCACUAUGGCCCUGGUCAAAAGUAGCGCACCAUGUAGGGAAUAGGNNNNNNNNNNGUCUGAGCACUGCGAGCGCCGCUUGAGGAAGGAGGAGAAGAGGCGUGAGAGGCCGCGGCUGGCUGAGGUGCGCUGGCGGGGCUUCACUAGCUGCUCCUCCUCAGUGGUGGUGGUGAAGAUGGGGCUCUCUGUGGAGCCAGGCUCUGAGUCCUGCUCCUGGGUCUUCUGGCUGGGCUUCUCCCUCUCUGGCUCCGGUGCUGCUGCCUCUGGGCUCGGCUUGUUCUCCGGUUCUCUCUCUGUUUCUGGCUCUGGGCUCGGCUUGUUCUCCGGUUCUCUCUCUGUUUCUGGCUCUGGGCUCUGCUUGUUCUCCAGUUGUAUCUCUGCCUCCGAGCUCUGCUUGUUCUCCGGUCUUCUCUCUGCCUCUGCUACACUGGGCUUCGGCUUGCCCUCUGUGUCCGCCUCGCCCACCGCGCUAGCCUCUGAGGUGAGACGUUUCUUCCUGGUAUUAUUCCGCCAUCAUAAUUCAAGUGUUUCCCGACGCCUUCAGAAGUUACAGCAUAUUGAUCCGAGUAUUCCAGUGACGCGUCUUGCAAUGACGAAGCACGUCUCUGCUGGUCGCAGGCAGCUGAGGGUGGGUG
rnacentral:lncRNA from 13 species